GUAGCUCAGUUGGCCAGAGCAGCUGAUUUGUAAUCAGCGGGUCGGGGGUUCGAAUCCCUCC
rnacentral:tRNA from 1 species